UUAAAGCCUAGUUCACUUGGACCAUGAAGAAGUUAUUCAAGAAAUAGUUGCCUGUGUGGCAGAGCUUCUUUAAAUUUCUUUGCUGAAGUGCAAGAACUUGAGCCCCACUACCAUUGUCCCUAAGCUGAGAGACAAAGAGAGAAAAGCCUUGAUGGAGACCUCCCCAAUGUCCUUAUGGAGGUGGGACUCUCCCUCCAAACCUCCUUCCCACCCA
rnacentral:lncRNA from 1 species